rnacentral:tRNA from 2 species
GCCUCCUUAGCUCAGAUGGUAGAGCGCAUGCCUAGUAAGCAUGAGGUCGUCAGUUCGAUUCUGGCAGAAGGCA